rfam:Oryza sativa Japonica Group DNA, chromosome 8, cultivar: Nipponbare, complete sequence.
UUUAAGUGCAGUUAUGGAUUUUCGUAUAUAAUGUUUGACUGUCCAUCUUAUUUUAUUUUUUAUGAUUAGUAUUCUUAUUGUUAUUAGAUAAUAAAACAUGAUCAAUACUUUAUGCGCAAAUUAUUUGUUUUUAAUUUUUCAUAAAAUUUUCAAAUAAGACGAGCACUCAUACAUUGGACACGGCAACCACAGCUACACUUAAA